rnacentral:rRNA from 1 species
GAUGAACGCUGGCGGCGUGCCUAAUACAUGCAAGUCGAGCGAACGGACGAGAAGCUUGCUUCUCUGAUGUUAGCGGCGGACGGGUGAGUAACACGUGGAUAACCUACCUAUAAGACUGGGAUAACUUCGGGAAACCGGAGCUAAUACCGGAUAAUAUUUUGAACCGCAUGGUUCAAAAGUGAAAGACGGUCUUGCUGUCACUUAUAGAUGGAUCCGCGCUGCAUUAGCUAGUUGGUAAGGUAACGGCUUACCAAGGCAACGAUGCAUAGCCGACCUGAGAGGGUGAUCGGCCACACUGGAACUGAGACACGGUCCAGACUCCUACGGGAGGCAGCAGUAGGGAAUCUUCCGCAAUGGGCGAAAGCCUGACGGAGCAACGCCGCGUGAGUGAUGAAGGUCUUCGGAUCGUAAAACUCUGUUAUUAGGGAAGAACAAAUGUGUAAGUAACUGUGCACAUCUUGACGGUACCUAAUCGGAAAGCCACGGCUAACUACGUG